CUUGGUCAUUUAGAGGAAGUAAAAGUCGUAACAAGGUUUCCGUAGGUGAACCUGCGGAAGGAUCAUUAAAGAGUAAGGGUCCUCUAGGCCCGACCUCCCAACCCUUUGUUUACCAAACCAAUGUUGCUUCGGCGGGCCCGUCUUAGGACCGCCGGAGGACCGUCGAAACGUCCUCUGGCCCGCGCCCGUCGAUGGCCCUUAUUAUUAAACUCUGAACCAAACGUGUCCUGUCUGAGUGAUUAUUAUCAAAAUUAAAGCAAAAACUUUCAACAACGGAUCUCUUGGUUCUGGCAUCGAUGAAGAACGCAGCGAAAUGCGAUAAGUAAUGCGAAUUGCAGAAUUCCAGUGAGUCAUCGAAUCUUUGAACGCACAUUGCGCCCUUUGGUAUUCCGAAGGGCAUGCCUGUUCGAGCGUCAUUAUCACCCCUCGAGCCCCUGUGGCUUGGCUUUGGACGGUCUGGUUAGGCGACUGACCCCUCCUAAGACAAUGACGGCGGCCUCGCAGGACCCCCGGUACACUGAGCUUCUUAACUGAGCACGUAUCGGAUCGAGGGUUCUCGGGGCACGGUCUCCUUUCCCCCCUCCCCUCGGGGCGGUGGGAAAACAAUCUUUCUCAGGUUGACCUCGGAUCAGGUAGGGAUACCCGCUGAACUUAAGCAUAUCAAUAAGCGGAGGA
rnacentral:rRNA from 1 species